rnacentral:tmRNA from 2 species
GGUUUUAUUUUUUUAAUCAUUCAUUAUUAUAAAAAUGCUGAUUUCAGCUAUGGCAAUAAACGUUUGAUUUUGAGCCGAGGCGGACCCGGGGGCGGUACCCGGCGCCUCCACCAUAUGGGGGCGAAAUAGGAUCGACGCGCGUGUGAAUAAUCAAAAACUUUGCCCGGAAUGGUACCAACGUUAUCGGACCAAACUUAUAAAUGCCAACGAUAAUGAAAUGGCACUCGCUGCUUAAUUAAUUAAGAAAGCGCGGUAGUGAGCACCGGGCAACAGAAGUCUCAUCG